AGCCCAAUACAUGCUCAAAAAUAACCAUCAACACUACAAGAAAGACCAAAUGUGAUAUGGAGGCGCAAGGUGCACGGGAAUGAAGGACAAAGGACGUCAAGGGCCCUGCUGGACUUGGAACCCAGGCCUGCUGGAGCAGAGAUCACAUCACAUCGCCAAGUUCAUUAUUCAGAUUCACAAUUGGGACCACACAACUAAAGCACCUGCUGUCCUGUGUGGUGGCACACUUAACUUGGAGGCCAGCCCCUUAUGUAUGGUGCAGAAAUCUACCAGGAUGACUCGAGGAAGACAAACCACCAUGGAGGCCCCAAAGGCUCCAGCACAUGCCAGCCUGUAAGAAUCAAUUGGGGCAUCUCUUCACAACACUGUGACAAAAGAUGGCAAGUUGGUAGCUUGAAACUGGCCCUGAUGGGAGUAUGUACACCAUGGAAAUUGGCAAAUGCAAGAAAUCAGGACCCCCCUCCAGAGCUAAUUACAUAUCUACCACCAGACCACUGCCUGAAGAGCCAGGAUCUCCCUAUGUUGCCCAGGCUGGUCUCGAACUACUGGGCUCAUGCAAUCCUAUCAUUUUGGCCUCCCAAAGUGCUGGAAUUACAGGUGAGAACCACUGUGCCUGGCCAGGGUCUAUAUUUCAAAGAGUAGUGACAGACUCUAUAGGCAUCUAAGCCAGCUCUUACCUUUUAUCACCUUGGGUGUCAGGAAGCACAGAAUGACAUAUGGUAGGGAAACAGUGAAAUGCAACCCCAACGGGUCUCCAGCCAGCACCCAUGGUACAGAUGUAUUAGCUGGGAGACACCUGUUGCUGCAGCUGGCUGAGUGCAGACUCACUUCUCAAAGUACAGACCCAUAUUUCUGAUUCCAUACUAUCUUUUCUUUUUUUUUUUUUGAGACGGGGUCCCACUCUGUCACCCAGGCUAGAGUACAGUGAUGUGAUCUCAGCUCACUGCAACCUCUGCCUCCCAGGUUCAAGCAAUUCUGGUGCCUCAGCCACCCAAGUAGCUGGGAUUACAGGUGCAUGCCACCACACCCUACUAAUUUUUGUAUUUUUAGUAGAGAUGGGGUUUCACCAUGUUGGACAGGCUGGUCUCGAACUCCUGACCUCAGAUGAUCUGCUUGUCUCAGCCUCCCAAAGUGCUGGGAUUACGAACAUGAGCCAUUGCACCUGGCCUCCACAUUAUCUUUUCUCAAAGAAGAAAUGUGUAUUUGCAAAUUUUGCAAUUAUAAUAUGACGUUAUCAGUAGGCGGGGAGGUGAGGGGUGGUAGAAUAAAAGUCACUAGGUAAUAUCUAGAACUGGUGAAUCAAAAGACAGCAGUAUAGGCAUAUACGGCAUAUGGACAGGCAUACAGAUAGGGAUGUCUAUGCCAGAGAAACAGCAGGUGACACAGACUACCAGUUGACCCCUGUACCUGCCUCCUCUUUAACUCAGCAAUAGAAUGUUGAGUUGGACACAUGGCUAUUGUGUUUAGCUAAUGGAAGCACUGUUCAGCCUCCCUUGCAGCUAGGUGUGGCCAUGGAGGAUGUGCAGAAGCAACUGCUAGGUCAUGGCCUCAAAGGGAAGGAGCAUGCCCUUCUCCCCACCCUUCCCCACUUCUUACUUCACUGGAACGCAGAUCAAGUGUAGACCAACUUAGAAACACAGAGAAAGACAAGACUCUAGAAGGGCAGAACAGGAAGACAAGACGGGAUAACUGCCCUAACCACCUCACAAAGUAGACUUAUCACACAUGCUCAAGAGUUUCAUGUAGGUAGAAUAAACUCCUGUCUAAGCCUCUGUCAUAGCCACUGAACUUGUAUCGUAAGAAACAUAUACCUAAAAUAAAAGUGUUUGGGUAAGGAGGCUGCUUUUAUUGUUCUUGUUAUUAUUAGUACUCUUUGACUUUUCAUAUAAUAUAUGUAUAUCACUUGGACUUUAAAAAACAAAUUAGUUUUUAAAAAGAGAUGAAAAUUAGAGUGAUCUUGAAGUAUUAUCAUUUUAUAUUUGAUAAGUUAGCAAAACGUUUUAGCAAGGUGACACUAAUGUUUGUGAAGUCGCUGUGAAAUGCAUACAUCAUUGGAUAUGGCACUAUAAAUUGAUAUAGCCCUUUCAGAAACCAUGUAGAAAUAGAAAUAGAAAAUAGAAAAAUAGAAAAAUGUUUGCAACCUUUGACCAAAAAAACCCCACACUUGGGAAUAUCUCCUAAGGAAAAUUCUAUGAAGCAAAGAGCCAUGUGGACAUAAAUGGUCACAGCAGUUAUCUCCAUAAUAGCUCCAAACAUGAAAAAAGCCCAGUGUUCAACAUGAUGGGAAAGACUUAGGAUAUUAAGGUACGUUGAGUUGAUAGGACAUUAUGUAGGGAUUAAAAAACAAUUGUGAAGCCUGCAUAAAAACACAGAAAUGUUUUCUGAUAGCAUAUUAGGUGAAGGCCAGAAAAUAAAGAGGCAGAAGCAGCCUGAUUUUUAAGAUAAUGUGGGAACAUGAGUUAAAAAGUAACAUGACCAUGUGCAAAAGAAUGAAGUUGGACCCUUACUUCAUGCCAUAUAUAAAAAUUAACUCCAAAUGGAUUAAAGAUCCAAUUGUAAGAUGUAAAAGUAUAAAACUCUUAGAAAAUAAAAUACAUAUAAAUCUUUGUGGCCUUUUAUUAGGCAAUAGCGUUUUAGAUAUAACACCAAAAGCAAAAGCAACAAAAGAAAAAAUAGACAAACUGAAUUUCAUCAAAAUGAAAAACUUGUGCUUCAAAGGGCACCAUGAAGACAAACUCUCAGAAGUUGAGAACAACUUAGCAAAUUACAUAUCUGAUAAGAGACUAGUGUCUAGAAUAUAUAAAAAAUGGUUAAAAUAAUAAAAAGACAAACUAAAAUUAAAAAUUAAAAUGAAAAUGAAUUUUUUAAAAGGGGCAAGAGAACUGAAUAGACAUUUCCCCAAAGAAGACAUAUAAAUGGCCAACAAACACAUGAAAAGAUGCUUGAGAACGUCAGCCACCAGGGAAAUGCAAAUUAAAACUACACUGAGGUAUCACAUCAUAUCCACUAGCAUGACCAUAAUCAAAAUGACCACAGACAAUAAGAAGUGUUGGUAAUGAUGUGGAGAAACUGGAAUUCUCAUACACUGCUGGUGGGAAUGUAAAAUGGUGAAGCCACUUUGGAAAAUAGUCUGAGUUCCUUAAACUUCAUGGCCCAGCAAUUCUACCCCUAGGUAUACUGCCAAAGAAAUAAAAACAUACAUCCACACAAAAAUCUUUAUUAAUGUUCACAGAAGCAUCAUUUAUAACAGUAGUAAAAAAGUAGAGAUAACCCAAAUGUCCAUCAAUUAAUAAAACAGAUAAAUAAAAUGUGGCCUAUUCAUACAAUGAAGUAUUACUUGGAAAGAAAACAUUACGCUAAGUGAAAGGAGCCAGACAAUAAGAUGGCAAAUAUUGUAUUUGGUUCCAUUUACAUGAAAUGUCCAGAAUAGGCAGAUCUACAGAGACAGAUGGUAGAUUAGUGACUGCCUAGGGCUGAAGAUUAGGCAAGAAUCGGGGAGGGAUGACUGCCAGAGGGUCUGAGAUUUCUUUUUGGGAUGAUGAAAAUGUUCUAAAAUUGACUAUGGGGAUGGUUGUUUAAAUUUGUGAAUAUAUUAAAAACCAUGGAAUUGUAUAUAUUAAGUAGGUUAUUAUAUGGUAUGCUCAGCUGUUACAAAAGAAAGUAAUAUAAAAAAAUGCAGUGUACUGCUUGAAAGAGUUGAACUGCUUCUUAUUACACGUAAAAGUUAUAUUAUACCAGUUUCUCAGUUAGGACAAAAAUUGGUCUUUGAACCUAAAUAUUAGCAGAUUUGCAAUGAAUGCAUGGUAGCAGCUCGCAUGCUAUACUUGGUCAAAAUCUAUUUCCUAGAAACAACACAAUUAAAAUCCAAAGUUCCUGAAUAGGUCUCUAGUGUUCUCCAUAUUUCUUGUUUCCUUCCUAAUUACUAAUGUGUUCAGUAAUCACUCCUGUGCUAGUGAUGUGAUGCAGGAAUCCAAGAAAGUGAAAUCUGAAGAAACUGAAGCAUUUCACAUAGUAGUUAGAUAACAGCAAAAGACUUCAGUAAUUACAAAGGAAACAUUCCAGACAAAAAGGUAUCUGUCCUUUGCUCUCAGGGCACCCACUGGAAAGAAGGCAGGUCUCUCACGACCUCUGGAAAAACAGACAAAUGACUUUCAUUUGGUGUUCACCAAGGCAGCAGUCCAUAUAACUAGUUCCUAGGGAUACUGCAUGGAAACAGGGCUCCGUGGUCAACUGGGUGUGACAAGAGUGCCUAUGACUUCCUCUCCCAGACAGUUGCAGUGCACAUUAGCACAGGAAAGGUUCUGAGAAGUCCAAAGCAAAGAUACCUGUUUAUUUUUGUUUAUUCCAGAUUUUUUGAGCACAGAAGCUUUUUCCUUCACAUAACAUCAAAGAAUUCUACUUGAAACAGUUUGAUGGAAAACCAAACCAUCACCCCAGAAUUACAGAUCUGCUCUCACCCUUUGUCCUCACCCCAUAUGGAUACUAUGGAGACAAGGGCAAAACAAUAGUGAGCAAAUAAUUAUUAUUUAAUGUCCUGGGGCUUCCAGGGAGGCUCUUGCUCUCUAAUGUGCCUGUAAUGUGUCAAUAACAACAGAGUUCCAAGUUAUCCUUUAGAAAGACCUCAUCUGCCCUUUCAGCAAAAAAUGCAUUGUUUAGAUAGUUGGUGACUCAGAGCUGAAGUGUGUGGUUCCAAAGCCCCAGGGUUUGAAUAUUUUAAUAUUAGGAAUGCAAGAAAAGAUUUCAGGAAAAGACAGAACAGCUUCUAGAAUUCUGAUGAUAUUUCCCCAUUGAUGCCUUUUAUGGUUUCUAGUUCCUAUCAAGUCAGAGCUUACAUAACAUGACUUAAGUCAGAUUUGGUCAGCUGAGAAAAGGAGGCGACGUCAAUGAUUAUGGAAAUAAACUAAAUUUCAAGAGCUCUAGGGAAGCACCUGGCUUUUUUUCCUCUCUUAAAGGAAUCUGUGCCAAAUUAAGGAUGCUAAGCACAAAACAGUACAUUUAGUCAAUAACAUCGGCAACCCAGUUGGCCAGGCUAGAAAUCAAGAAAUCAUCCAGGGAUCCUCCACCCUCGCAGCCUUCCACAUACUUCUCAGACCUGUUCCCUCCCUCCAUCCUGACCCCUGCUGUUCUGGGGGCCUUGCCAUCUCUUUCCACAAUUAAUGGGGUCAGCCAGCCUGCCACUCUAGCAUCACCCUGGCCAUAUGUGUCACUCUCCUCCACAGGGC